UACGAGGGGUGCAAGCGUUGCUCGGAAUUAUUGGGCGUAAAGGGUAGGUAGGUGGUCUCAUUUGUCUGGGGUGAAAGCCUUGAGCUUAACUCAAGAAGUGCCCUAGAAACGGUGAGACUGGAGUCUUGGAGAGGGUCGUGGAAUUCCCGGUGUAGCGGUGAAAUGCGUAGAGAUCGGGAGGAACACCGGUGGCGAAGGCGGUCUUCUGGACGGUGACUGACGCUGAGGCGCGAAAGCGUGGGGAGCAAACGGG
rnacentral:rRNA from 1 species